CCUACGGGAGGCAGCAGUGAGGAAUAUUGGUCAAUGACCGUAAGGCUGAACCAGCCAAGUAGCGUGAGGGAAGACUGCCCUAUGGGUUGUAAACCUCUUUUAUGCGGGGAUAAAGGUGUCCACGUGUGGCUGUUUGCAGGUACCGCAUGAAUAAGGACCGGCUAAUUCCGUGCCAGCAGCCGCGGUAAUACGGAAGGUCCGGGCGUUAUCCGGAUUUAUUGGGUUUAAAGGGAGCGUAGGCCGGUCUUUAAGCGUGCCGUGAAAUUUUGUGGCUCAACCAUGAGAGUGCGGCGCGAACUGGAGACCUUGAGUGCGCGGAAGGCAGGCGGAAUUCGUGGUGUAGCGGUGAAAUGCUUAGAUAUCACGAAGAACCCCGAUUGCGAAGGCAGCCUGCCGCAGCGUUACUGACGCUGAAGCUCGAAAGCGCGGGUAUCGAACAGGAUUAGAUUCCCUAGUAGUC
rnacentral:rRNA from 1 species